UACGUAGGGUGCGAGCGUUGUCCGGAAUUAUUGGGCGUAAAGAGCUUGUAGGCGGUCUGUCGCGUCUGCUGUGAAAAUCCGGGGCUCAACCCCGGACUUGCAGUGGGUACGGGCAGACUAGAGUGUGGUAGGGGAGACUGGAAUUCCGCGUGUAGCAGUGAAAUGCGCAGAUAUCAGGGAGGGAAACACCCGGGUGGCGAAAGGCGA
rnacentral:rRNA from 1 species